UCCCUAGAGUGCUUCAUCAGAAUGUGUGCGGGGGUGGGACAGCCUCUGCAUUCUGUCUGAGAGAAGAGGUGAUAUAAUUUGUUGUGGCGGGGAGUGUGGGUCACGGUUUGUGGAAGGAGAGGGUGGCUUCGCGCAGAAGCAGGAAAACCAAAGUCAUGGCUGGAGUCGUCUCUCCCGCCAGAGCCAUCCGGGGCUGGAGGGGACUCUCAGUGACCACAUCACCUCCCCUCUAGGGCAGAGAAGAGCAGAGAGCCGGACUGCAGAGGCACUGAGCCCACUUUGAAGCUGGCAAGCCUGGCCUGCCCCUCCCGGAUGUGGCCUGCCAGCUGCAGACACUGACCCCGCACCCCCGAUGGACACUCCCGCUGCUCACGUGAUAAUGCAGAACUCCGGCCCUUAGCCAGUGCAGUCCGCAGAUGCUCAGCCAGCCAACCGGAUGAGGUCCGGACGGCAGAAGGCCAGCGUGUGCCGCCUGGUCUGCUCAACUGAUUGGCGGAGUGCAUCCUGGAAAAAAAGUGGACCUGAAAGAACCCAAUUCCAGAGGGAAGGCUCCCGAUGGCAGGUCACUCCCGCCAAGUCUGGGACUGAAGCCCCCACAAGAUUAUGGAGCUGAUUCUAGUCAGACUAGGUGAGACCCCGCUCCAACCUCCGUGACCUUGGGCAUCUUGUUACUCAUCUCUGUCUGUCUGUGAUACUGUUGUGACUGUGACUAAGUGUCGACUGCCAAUCAAAACAGUGGACAAGAAGUGACUGCUGGGUGCAGACUGGUGGUUCAGGUGACGGGUGUUAAUGGAGCUCAUUACAGCAGCUGAAGAUGGGAGAUCCAUCUAAAGGUGGGAGAGGAAGGAAAGGGAACAUUCCCAGGACCAACUUAGCUGAAGUUCCCUCCAAGUCACACUUCGUUUCUUCCCAUCCAUUCGUCCAACUCUGAACUGAGCCUAUGUCAGGACCUGCACUGAUCAUCAAACAUUACAUCAAACCAUGCCUUCAAAAAGCAGGCGCGUGGUGAAUGCCGGGUAAAUCACUACAAUUUACUGACUGUACCGUAACAGCUUUUUAUGCUAUUGGUUCUUUUAAAGCCAAAAAACAAAAACCCUGUGAGAUGUUUAUCAUUGUCAUCAGCCCACAGACGAAGAGUCUGAAGCCCAGGAAGUCUGAGUAAUGUGCGAAAGCUCACCCAGCUGGGCAGUUCUGUCGCCCACUGCUUGCAGCACGUUGCCAUUCGUUUCAGCUUUCCUUCUUCUUCUAGGACUCUUCUUCCUAUUUCCGAUCCCCUCCCUUCACCACACCCCUGCCACCUGACAGCCCAGCUCAUUGAUGACCACCUCCUGGUUUCUUUUCCU
ensembl:lncRNA